rnacentral:lncRNA from 1 species
AAGGCCUCUCUCCUUCACAGUGACUCCGUUCACAUGCUCCCGUCUUGUCAUCAAGCCCUGUUCAUCUCUCACCAUCUCUCACCUGGACCAUUGCCAGUUUCUGAGCUGCCUGCUCUUGAAUACCAGCUUCCUGAAAAUAUCACCAAAACGAUCUGGUCCUCAGACAAAGCAGAGUCUAUUGCUCACUGCAGUAACAGAGAGCUCCGUCUUCAGAGUCUUGGUAACAUUUCGCUGAGAGGACAACCCAAUCACACUGUUUAGGAGAUUUUGGAUUCUGACUAAGGUGAGUCUGACAAUGUGGGGUCUUGGCAAAUAAUCAUGAUGAAAUAGUUUAAGAUGAGAAGACACAGCAAAGUAAGGAUUUUGAGGCAAAGGGUUCAAACAAUCUUAGAGUAUAAACUGCUUUUUAUUGAUGUAACUCUGAAGAUGUUCCUGGAGUAAAAAAAGGAAGUUAUUUGCAAAUUUUACCUCCAGGGUGAGAGCUUCUGGAAUAAGAAAUUUCUGCUGAUGAAGAUCGUAAACUGUGUGGGUGUAGCUGGUUUUGCCUGUCACCUCCAUGCCUCCUAUCUCAAACUCUUCCACUUCGUUAGCAACAGCAACAAUAAUAACAAUAGUUACAAUAUGAGUAGCAGCAAAUAUUUAGCUCUCAUUAAAUGCCAAGCACUGUCCUAAGCAUUUUACAAAUACUGUCUCAUUAAAGUUCGCCAUAAUCCUAUGGUAUUGGCACUAUUUUUGUCCACAUUAUACAAAUGUAAACACUGAAGCAGCUUAGAGAGGACAAGUUAUUUGACCAAGUCACACAGUACCUUCCCACUGUCAGAGUUCUAUCAGAAAUGAAAAUUUGAUAAUUGCACACUCUUGCAUAAACUUUUUCAAAGAUUCCCUGUUGCCUAAAACAUAAAAAUCUUGAUUUCUUCAAAUGGUACACAGAACACUCCAUGAUCUGGCCUCAGUCCCACCUCUCCAGUCUUCUUUAUUGUAUAGGUUGCUCUACCCAUUCCUGGACCACACAUGAUGCUGUUUCACGUCUUCAUGAAUCGUGCUCAUUUGGAGUUUUUACUCCUGGUAUCUACUCAUCAUCCAUCUAAUAAAACAGUAGCCUGGGGAAACAGUCUCUUCCCUCACUUUCAGCCUGUUUGCAUUGUCCCCACUUAAUGUGAACUGAGAGUAAGAAGGUGCUGGGAUUGUUGCACUCUCUUACAGGAAGCAGGAGAAUUAACCAACACUGAGGAGAAAUGGGGAGAUACAAACUAUCUCAUGAGGCUGUCCUGCAAGCCCUGGAGCAAGCUGAGCCCAAGCCUGUUCAUUUAUAUCAUCCAAUACAUUUGAUUGUUUAAGGGAGAGUGAUUUUUUUUUUAAGCAUUUCCAUCGGAAAAGGUCUUCAUUCACACUGCAGUCUGUUAGAACAUAUUUCUUCAGGCUUUCAGACUAGAACACCCUCACCUUUCAACAUUCAGCUCAGAUAUCACCACCUCCAUGAGGUUUUUUUGUUUUUGUUUUUGUUUUUGAGACAGUCUCGCUCCAUCACCUAGGCUGGAGUGCAGUGGUGCAAUCUUGGCUCACUGGAACUUCUGCCUCCAGAGUUCAAGAGAUUCUCCUGCCUCAGCCUCCUGAGUAGCUGGGAUUACAGGCGCCCACCAUCACGCCUGUAUAAUUUUUGUAUUUGUGCCUGGAGCAAAAAUGUGUCCAGAAUUGGUGGGUUGUUGGUCUCGCUGACCUCAAGAACGGAGCCGUGGACCCUCGCGGUAAGUGUUGUGUCCCGAGUUUGUUCCUUCUGAUGUUCAGAUGUGUCCAGAGUUUCUUCCUUCUGGGGGGUUGCUGGUCUUGCUGACUUCAGGAGUGAAGCUGCAGACCUUCGCAGUGAGUGGGCGGCGCAUCUGGAGUUGUUCGUUCCUUCCAGUGGGUUCGUGGUCUCACUGGCCUCAGGAGUGAAACUGCAGACCUUUGCUGUGAGUGUUACAGUUCAUAAAGGUGGCACGUCCAGAGUUGUUCGU